UCUUGCCCCUGCCUAUACACAGUUCAAACAACUUCAAUCUCAAGAGUCAUCUCAGAUAAAACUGAAAAAAACCAAAGACUGGAACAUAAGUGUGUUUGCAAAUCUAAGACAGAAAUACUCAUAUACAUAGAAAGGUUUCAUGAAACUGAACAGUCAUCUCUCUGCCAUCAACAACACUUCCUGCAACAAAAAAGGUUUCAUGUUUCAAAAUCCAAUCACCCACUAAGAACCGUUGGAUCAGAGCUAGCUGAGAUCUUUCUUGCUCUGAGUAAGCGUCCAUUACCCUUGGCAUUGAGUUGAAUGUGUCACAAGUGCAACUAUGUUGUCCUUCUCUGUACUCUGCUCCACAACAGUAGCAAAGCUCAUGGCAAAGAACACAAAGAGAGAUAUCAACAUUGAUAUAAGAAACCACAAAGCCAAACACUGUAUCCAUCUCUUAUACCUAGCCAAGUGAUGCAAUGAUCUGGAUAUCUUUCAUCAACCGGAAGAAUCUGAAACUCUUCACAGCUCACAAAAUCAUGCCAAGGAACACCACAGUCCCACAGAAACCUCUCACAGAGUGGACACUUCACAUAACAUCUAUUCUUGUCCAACAUUCUGAUGCUUCGCAUCUGACUCUUUCAAGAGAAGCUGUUAAAGAUUAACGCACACAGGUGGGGUCAGAGAGUGAGUAAGAAUAGAAGUCUCUGGAGGAAAUAUAAGUAGGAGGUUCCCAUAUAUCAAUACCCAAUAUUGACAGCAGUCUCCACCUUGUCUCCUGUCAAAACUCAAAUAUUUAUUCCUGCUUGAGCAACUCAAGGAAGCUCACCAAUCUGUAAUUUAGGUUGUGUAAUAGCAGCUUACCCCAUUUUAGAGUUUAUCCUCAACAGUUGUAGCUCCAAGAAGAACCAGAUCUUUCUCAAUCUUCUCUGUGACUUCAUCUAUCAGUGCUUCUCAAUCAGCACUAACCAAACUCAUAUAUAUAUAUAUAUGGUUUAGGGUUUGACUGAAAAGAUUAGAUUGUAUUUUUUGGUUUAUUAUUUGGUGGUUUAAUUUUAUUUUGUAAAUGUAUAAUGUGAAAUGUUGUUAGUUUGGAGUAGUAUGUUUUUCUUGUAUGAAUAUAAUUUAUUUAAAAAUUAAGAUUUAAUGUAUUAUGAUAUAUGUUAAUAUGAGGUAUUUGGUUUAUGGUUUAGGGUUAAGAUUUAGAAUGAAGUAUAUGAUUAAAUGUGAACUAAAAUAUUAAAAUUUAAAGUUUAAAGGUUAUGUUUAUUAUAUAUGGUUUGAAAUUUGUAGUAUGGAUUCAGAGUUUAGCUAUAUAAGUAUGAGGUUAAGAUUUUAAAAUUUAACUUUUGUAACAACUGGUUAUAUAAUUUAUUUUUUUAACAACUACUUAUAUUUAUUUUUAUAUUUAAAAUAAGAGAUUAAAGAUGUGAGUUUAUGAUAUAAGUAUGAUUUACAUGAUCUGUGGUAUGGUAUACAUUUAAAAUUUUAAGAUUUUUAGUUAGAGUUUAGUGUAUAUGACUAAUUUGGGUUAUGAUAUAUGUCUAUAGUUUAAGGUUAAGUUUUGGGGUUUAGGGUUUAGAGCAAAGUUUAGGGGUUUAAGGUUUGACUACGCCAAACUUGAUAUAAUAGUAUCACACUAAACAUAUGAACCCCUAAACUAGUAUAUAUAUAUAUAAAUAUUUUAAAACAAAACUCUAAUUAAUCAAUUUUUAUCUUUUAAUUUUACACUCAAUCAUAUAAAUUAAAAAUACAAUUAUUUUACAAUAAAUGAUGAUUUUAUAUCUAAUUAAUUAUAUAAAAUCAGUUUUGCAUUGUUAUAUUAAUAACGGGCAUAUAUGGUUUAUAUAAACUAACAAAAAUCCAAUUAUCAUCUCAGAUGAAACUGAAAAAUAUACAUCUCUUGCCCCUGCCUAUACACAGUUCAAACAACUUCAAUCUCAAGAGUCAUCUCAGAUAAAACUGAAAAAAACCAAAGACUGGAACAUAAGUGUGUUUGCAAAUCUAAGACAGAAAUACUCAUAUACAUAGAAAGGUUUCAUGAAACUGAACAGUCAUCUCUCUGCCAUCAACAACUCUUCCUGCAACAAAAAAGGUUUCAUGUUUCAAAAUCCAAUCACCCACUAAGAACCGUUGGAUCAGAGCUAGCUGAGAUCUUUCUUGCUCUGAGUAAGCGUCC
rnacentral:lncRNA from 1 species